UACGUAGGGACCGAGCGUUGUCCGGAACCAUUGGGCGUAAAGAGCGUGUAGGCGGCUUGCUAAGUCUUGCGUGAAAUCUCGGGGCUCAACCCCGAGCGGUCGUGAGAAACUGGCAGGCUAGAGUGCGGGAGAGGAGAGUGGAAUUCCUGGUGUAGCGGUGAAAUGCGCAGAUAUCAGGAAGAACACCCGUGGCGAAGGCGGCUCUCUGGACAAGUAUUGACGCUGAGGUGCGAAAGCGUGGGGAGCAAACAGG
rnacentral:rRNA from 1 species